rnacentral:rRNA from 1 species
UACAGAGGGUGCAAACGUUGUUCGGAAUUACUGGGCGUAAAGCGCGUGUAGGCGGCCCUGCAAGUCGGAUGUGAAAUCCCACGGCUCAACCGUGGAAGUGCAUUCGAAACUGCGGGGCUGGAGUACUGGAGAGGAAGGUGGAAUGCUCGGUGUAGAGGUGAAAUUCGUAGAUAUCGAGCGGAACACCGGUGGCGAAGGCGGCCUUCUGGACAGUUACUGACGCUGAGACGCGAAAGCGUGGGGAGCAAACAGG